CUGGUUCGAGUCCAGGAUGGCCCACCUGAAGUAAUGCAAAAUUAAAAAUUCAAAGUUCAAAAUUAAGCAAUUGUUUUUGAAUUUUGCAUUUGGAAUUUUGAAUUGUGUUGGGGGGUUUAGCUCAGUUGGUAGAGCGCCUGCUUUGCAAGCAGGAUGUCAGCGGUUCGAGUCCGCUAACCUCCACAUGAAAAAAAAGCCAAAAGUGAAUUCAGCAUCUAACGCAGAGAAGUUAGAAUGCUGGGUGAAAACCAGCCAGAACCUUGAAAACUGCAA
rnacentral:tRNA from 1 species